rnacentral:lncRNA from 1 species
GCUGACUCUUUUCAGACUCAGUCCGCCUACACCCAGGUGAAAUAAACAGCCAUGUUGCUCACACAAAGCCUGUUUGGUGGUCUUUUCACACGGACGCGCAUGAAAUUUGGUGCCGUGACUCCGAUUGGGGGAUCUCCCUUGGGAGAUCAAUCCCCUGUCCUCCUGUUCUUUGCUCUGUGAGAAAGAUCCACCUACCACCUCAGGUCCUCAGACCGACCAGCACAAGAAACAUCUCACCAAUUUCAAAUCCGGUAAGCAGACUCUUUUUACUCUCUUCUCCAACCUCCCUAUCCCUCAACCUCUUUCUCUUUUCAAUCUUGGCGCCACACUUCAAUCUCUCCCUUCUCUUAAUUUCAAUUCCUUUCAUUUUCUGGUAGAGACAAAGGAGACAAGUUUUAUCUGUGGACCCAAAACUCUGGCGCCGGUCACGGACUGGGAAGGCAGCCUUCCCUUGGUGUUUAAUCAUUGCAGGGACGCCUCUCUGAUUAUACAGUCACGUUUCAAGGGUGUCAGACCACGCAGGGACGCCUGCCUUGGUCCUUCACCCUUAGCAGCAAGUCCCGCUUUUCUGGGGAAGGGGCAAGUAUCCCAACCCCUUCUCUCCUUGUCUCUACCCCUUCUCUGCUUUUCCGGGGACGGGACAUGUACCCCAACCCCUUCUCUGUCUCUACUCCUUCUCUGCUAUCCUGGGGCAGGGGCAAGUACACCUCAACCCCUUCUCCUUCACCCUUAGCGGCAAGUCCCGCUUUCCUAGGGGGCAAGAACCCCCCAAUCGCUUAUUUCCACACCCCAACCUCUUAUCUCUGCACCCCAAUCCCUUAUUUCCACGCCCCAAUCUCUUAUCUCUGCACCCCAAUCCCUUAUUUCCGUGCCCCAACACUUUCUCUGCUUUUCUGGAGGGCAAGAAACCCCCACCCCUUCUCCGUGUCUCUACUCUUUUCUCUGGGCUUGCCUCCUUCACUAUGGGCAAGCUUCCACCUUCCAUUCCUCUUUCUUCUCCCUUAGCCUGUAUUCUUAAGAACUUAAAACCUCUUCAAUUCUCACCUGACCUAAAAUCUAAGCGUCUUAUUUUCUUCUGCAAUGCCGCUUGACCCCAAUACAAACUCAACAGUAGUUCCAAAUAGCCAGAAAACGGCACUUUCAAUUUUUCCAUCCUACAAGAUCUAAAUAAUUCUUGUCGUAAAAUGGGCAAAUGGUCUGAGGUGCCUGACGGCCAGGCAUUCUUUUACACAUCAGUCCCUUCCUAGUCUCUGUGCCCCGUGCAAUUCGUCCCAAAUCUUCCUUCUUUCCCUCCCACCUGUCCCCUCAGUACCAACCCCAAGCAUCGCUGAGUCUUUCUAAUCUUCCUUUUCUACAGACCCAUCUGACCUCUCCCCUCCUCGACAGGCCGAGCUAGGUCCCAAUUCUUCCUCAGCCUCCGCUCCUCCACCCUAUAAUCUUUUUUAUCGCCUCCCCUCCUCACACCUGCUUCGGCUUACAGUUUCAUUCCGUGACUAGCCCUCCCCCACCUGCCCAGCAAUUUAUUCUUAAAAAGGUGGCUGGAACUAAAGGCAUAGUCAAGGUUAAUGCUCCUUUUUCUUUAUCGCAAAUCAGAAAGCGUUUAGGCUCUUUUUCAUCAAAUAUAAAAAUCCAGCCCAGUUCAUGGCUCGUUUGGCAGCAACCCUGAGACGCUUUACAGCCCUAGACCCUAAAAGGUCAAAAGGCCGUCUUAUUCUCAAUAUACAUUUUAUUACCCAAUCUGCUCCCAACAUUAAAUAAAACUCCAAAAACUGGAAUCUGGCCCUCAAACCCCACAACAGGACUUAAUUAACCUCACCUUCAAGGUGUGCAAUAACAGAAAAAAGAUGCAAUUCCUUGCCUCCACUGUGAGACAAACCCCAGCCACAUCUCCAGCACACAAGAACUUCCAAACGCCUGAACUGUAGCAGCCAGGCGUUUCUCCAGAACCUCCUCCCCCAGGAACUUGCUACACAUGCCAGAAAUCUGGCCACUGGGCCAAGGAACGCCCGCAGCCCGGGAUUCCUCCUAAGCCGCGUCCCAUCUGUGUGGGACCCCACUGAAAAUCGGACUGUUCAACUCACCUGGCAGCCACUCCCAGAGCUCCUGGAACUCUGGCCCAAGGCUCUCUGACUGACUCCUUCUUGGCUUACCGGCUGAAGACUGACGCUGCCUGAUCACCUCAGAAGCCCCGUAGACCAUCACGGAUGCCGAGCUUUAGGCAGGAAUGUCAGGUCUCUGAGCCCAAGCCAAGCCAUCGCAUCCCCUGUGACUUGCACGUAUAUACGCCCAGAUGGCCUGAAGUAACUGAAGAAUCACAAAAGAAGUGAAAAGGCCCUGCCCCAUCUUAACUGAUGACACUCCACCAUUGUGAUUUGUUCCUGCCCCACCUUAACUGAGUGAUUAACCCUGUGAAUUUCCUUCUCCUGGCUCAGAAGCUCCCCCACUGAGCACCUUGUGACCCCCCACCCCUGCCCACCAGAGAACAACCCCCUUUGACUGUAAUUUUCCAUUACCUUCCCAAAUCCUAUAAAAUGGCCCCACCCCUAUCUCCCUUUGCUGACUCUCUUUUCGGACUCAGUCCGCCUGCACCCAGGUGAAAUAAACAGCCAUGUUGCUCACACAAAGCCUGUUUGGUGGUCUCUUCACACGCAUGAAAGUGCAAAUGUAAUUUACAUUUGUAUUUGAACAAGCUGAUUAGCUUGAUUAGCCUGAUAGAAAUAGAAGUUGUCAAUAUUUUAUUAGUAACUUAUAAUUUAUAGAAUUAUAUAAUUUAUAGGUAUAUAAUACAAUUAGAGCAAUAUCUAUUAUUUUUAUAGUUUGUGUAUUGCUCUGAUUCACCCCAUACACACAAUUAGAGUAACCAACCUAAAUAAUUUUGUGAUGAAGCCAAUGAUAAAUACAAUGUAAAUUUCCUCAAAAUAAUAGGCAAUCUCGCUAUUCCCAAUCACCAAAAGGAUUUUUUAAAUGUUGCACAUUAGAAGACCUACUUUAAAAGUCAAUCUAAAUGCCUUAUAACAGGAAAAACUUCUUUCAUAAUUUUUUGAUAAAUUUUGCAAAUUUAAAAAUGUUACAGUAUUUUAUUGUAAAUUUGGUACAUUUUGGUAUACCUUAUUGAAAAUUAUUUGGGAAUGUUCACUUAAACCAUUCAACAAAUGAACCACCACAAAAUGUCAGACUUUGAAGCUUUCAGCAAACAGGAAUUACUGAAAACAAAGCUUUCAAAGGGAAAGAUAUUGAAGUUUAUCCCAAAAAAGAGAGAAGCUGAACUUGUUUUUAAUGAGAAUUCAAAUAAUAUACAAGAUUUACCUUUAAUUUUCAAUCAUUUUACUUUUGAUAUUUUACUUUGUAAGAAAGUUA